AUGUGAUCGCAGAGGACCGUACUGAUCAG
rnacentral:sRNA from 1 species